AUAUAUUUAUGACCUUAAAUUAUCUCCCUUAAGGCCUUUAGACCUUAUCUCCAAAUAAACUCAAGUCAGGGCUUUAUGGCUUCAACAUAUGAAUUUGGCAGUGGGGCACACAAUUGAGUUCAUGACACCCAGUAAUGCAAAAAUCCCAGUAUAUGUUUGUGAAAUGAGGUCUCUGCUUUUUAAAAGCUCAUGAACUGGGAGGAAUUUAGACCCAUGGGUAUGAGGGUAGGAGGGUUGUAGUAGUUCAGAAUCCUGAUACUGGAGGAAAGCACUGAAGUGGGACUUUUUGUGCUUAAGUCUUAAGUCCCAACUCUGCCGCUUAUUAGCCAUAUGGCCUUAGGCAAGUUACUUAACCUCUCCAGUCGAGUAUCCUCAUCUGGGAAAUCAGGAUAACCAAGUAGGUUGGCUGUUAGGAUGAGAUGAGUAUUUUGCAUGGAAGGCCCUUGGCACUGAAUCUGGCAUUCCCUCCUUAGUGCUCAGUCAAUGGCAGUGAUUCUUACUGUUCCUCAGACUUCCCCCAGGUGCCCUUUGCCAGCAGUUCCGUCUCAGUAAGUCCUCACUCUUCCAAAUUUCCUCUGCCCAGCUUCUCAGGACUCAGAAGGCUAGUGGGUAGUUAGAACAUCUUCUGUGUCCAGAGGCGAUGAGGCAAGACGAGGGGAACUGCCCCGUAUCCGCUGGUGAGUCCAGAUGUCAGAGCUUUUGACUUACUCUCAAGACAGGGAGCAGUUAGUACUUUUACCUCUUGCUGAACAGGUCUUCUCCAUCCUAUAACUUUUAAGACAGUUUUGAAAUAAUUUCAAAAUUACAGAAAAGUUUCAAGGGUAGGACAAAGUACAUUUUGCCAUUCAUUCUUUCCCUCCUGCCUUCUGUCCCCGCAUCACCUCUGAAGCGUGACCUAUUUGAGAGUGACUUCCAUACACCUGUCCAUUUACCCCUGAAUAUUUUAGUGUACAUUUCCUGAAUUUCUUAGGAAAUAAGGACAGUUUCUCAUAUGACAAUGACAUAAUUAUCAAAUUCAAGAAAUGUAUAAUUUUAUCUAAUUAGUACAGUAGUAUCUAAUCUUUAGAUACAUGUUUCAUUUUUGUCAGCUAUCCCAAUAAUGUUCAAUAAUGUUUUUGAAAGCUUUUUUUUCCCCUGGUCUAUGAUCCAGUCCAGGAUCACACUGCAUUUUGUUUCCUUUCCUUAGUCUUCUUUAACCUGGAACAAUUCCUUAACCUUUGUCUUAGAAUACUGAUGUUUUUGAAGAGUUCAGCCCAGUUAUGUUGUAGAAUAUCCCUCAAGUUGGUCCCUUACCAUUUGUCUAAAACCUGUAUGAGGUGCCAAACAGAAGCAUUGUAGAACACAGUCUGGCUCUUUCCUUGCGAAUCUUAGGUUUGGAUUUGUGGGGACAGUAGUUAAUCUCUGAUAGGCUCAAAGGACCUGUGUGUGCUCAUGAUUAGGGUUGUGCCAUGCUGACAUGGGUAAACACAUUUUUGAGGAAUGCAGGAUGGGUCUACAUUCUAGACAUCCCCAAAGAUGCAGAAAUGGCCCUGCAUCCUGUCCAUCCUCCAGUCAUCAGCUUGGCUUGGCCUCCUGAGGUGCCCUGAAGUUCAUACUACAGACAGGAAGUCCUGCUUUCAGAAAUCUUGAGCAUCUGCAGUCCUGGGUUCUAACGUGUCCCUCCUGCUGAUCUGCUCUGUGGCCUGGGGCUACUCUCCCAACGCCUCUGGGCCAGUGAUGGGGAGAGGAGCCUGUCCUGGCUCUGCAGAGUGCCCCUGGCACUCCAAACAAGUGUGGGAUAGGGGGAAAGUCACUGAGCCUUGGAGUGUUAGGAAAACAGGCCAGAGGUCUGGACCACGACAAUUUGGAAGCCAAUUUUUUUUUUUUUUUUAAAGAUUUUGUUUAUUUAUUUGACAGAGAGAGAUCACAGUAGACAGAGAGGCAGGAAGAGAGAGGGAGAGAGGGAAGCAGGCUCCCUGCUGAGCAGAGAGCCCGAGGCGGGACUCGAUCCCAGGACCCUGAGAUCAUGACCUGAGCCGAAGGCAGCGGCCCAACCCACUGAGCCACCCAGGUGCCCCUGGAAGCCAAUUUGGAUCAUCUUCUUUGUGAUCUGGCAAGCAGAUCAUCAGACCUGGAACUUUGUUUCCAGCUGUCGGACAGGGUCAGAAACAGUGAAUUGUAAUCUGUUCAAGCAAUCAUACAGCAUCAGGGAACUUUCACAUUAGUUGUGGGUAUUUUGUCAGACCAAAGCAGACAAGGCAAGUAUGUUUUAAGUGUCAGUGACCUCCACAAGACUGGCCAAGCAAACUUUCAAGGUGAGAAACAAAAUAAAAUUGAUUUUCAUCUUACCGUUAAGUCAACGCCCUUGUCUGCUUUAACGCUUGCAUUAACACUACAGCAUGUUCUCCCUGGGGAUGCAGACAUUUGUGUGAGAGACACAGAAUCUCCUGCCUUUUUGAAUGUGAAUUCAUUAAAAUUAAAUAAAAUUUAAACUUCAGUUCCUCAGUUGAAUUGGUAACAUUUAAAGGGCUCGGCAGCUACAUGUGGUUAGUGAUUACCGUAUUGGACAGUGCAGAUCUAGAACGUCAUCAUAGUUCUGAUGGACAGCACUGCACUGCACAUAACAAUCUGGGAAGCGGGGACACUUCCUUCUGUGACGGAUGACAGACUUGGUCACAGGGAAAAUUUGACAAAUUGUGAAGUGAGCUUUUAAAUAUGACUGCAAGCUGUUGGCAUUGUAUCUUUGGGGGUGCUGGAUUGAAUCAGAGGUAUGCUGGAAAGAUUUAUGGAGUUUUUACGUUUUCUGUCUGGUAGCUCAGAGCUCUGUUAAGUUAGUUCCCAUGUCAUGGUACUAUAGCUAGGUUUUAAAGAGAAUGUAACCAAGCUGAAUUCACUGAGGUGGUGAUUUCAGCCAGUGCAUUGGGUCUUAACAUUUAACAGGCCCUCCAUAGCCUCAGAGCCUUGAGUCCAGGGGCCAGGUGCAGGAGCCCAGUUUCUAGCUGUCGGGGUACUUCAGGUGGGAAGGGGACCUCAUUCUCAUUGCUGAGGCAGCGCCACUAAGGACCCUGGGCUGGGUGUCGGGCUAAGAUAUCUGGUGGUAGGUUCUAGAGCAGGGCAGGAGGCUGCGACUCACUCACAUGAAUGAUAAACGUCUGGAUUAAUAUUAUUUCUGCACUCAAACAUCUGAUGAAGACAUCCAGAGCUAAGUUCCUAGGCUAAACCUUGUCUCACUGUUCCUCGAAGUGUGGGUCAUGGGGAGGGGUUGAUAAGUGUCUCUGAGCUUCCAGGACCCAGCCCACAACUGUUGAGGAAGCCUCACAGCCGGCUGUGCACAAGUGGGGACAUCCGUGUCUGUGUGAAAGUGCCUGUGUGCCUGUGGGUCCUUGCUUCUGUGUGUGCCUGUCCCCGCCUCCUGGCCACUAAGCAGAGGAGGGGAAGCUGAAUAAGCUGAGGUCCACGCUGCUGCCUCUGCUCCAGCUAGGAUGUGGCUCUUCCACACUCUGCUCUACAUAACCAGCCUUGCUCCUCUGGUGGCCUUCAAUGUGGAUGAGGCCCAGAUCUGGGUGACUCCUGAGGGAGACACACCCUAUGUGCUCAGCUCCCUUCUGCACCAAGACCCCAGCACCAACAAGACCUGGCUCCUGGUCACCGGCCCUCAAACCAAGGAGGAAGAAGGCCUCCUGCAUUGUUGUACCCUCAUCCAAGAUAAGAUCUCUUGCGAAAGAGUAGAGACUGUCCCCAUCCCAAAGGGGAGGUACCGGGGAGUGACAGUUGUUCGGAACUACCACAGUGUUUUGAUCUGCAUUCAAGUGCGGACCCCGCAGCCCCACAGUCUCAGCUCAGAACUCACAGGGACCUGCAGCCUACUAUCCAACAACUUCCAAAACCACACCCAAGUCCACUUCUCCAACCUUGAAAAUCUGGAUCCCAGUGCACACGUGGAUGACAGAGAGUGCUACAGGAACAAGAAAGGCAACACAGAGAAGCCAGCCAGGUGGCGCCGGGCUCUGAAGAUACAGGAGGAGGAGGAGGAGGAGGAGGAAGCUGGCACUGAGAUUGCCAUCAUCCUGGAUGGCUCAGGAAGCAUUGACCCCCCAGACUUCCAGAGAGCCAAAGACUUCAUCUCCAACAUGAUGAAGAACUUCUAUAAGAAGUGCUUUCAGUGCAGCUUUGCCCUGGUGCAAUACGGGGCAGUGAUCCAGACUGAGUUUGAUCUUCGGGAUAGCCAGGAUGUGAGCGCCUCCCUCGCCAGAGUCCAGAACAUCACUCAAGUGGGGAGUGUCACCAAGACUGCUUCUGCCAUGCAGCAUGUCCUAGACAACAUCUUCACGCCAAGCCACGGCUCCAGAAAAAAGGCAUCCAAGGUCAUGGUGGUACUCACUGAUGGGGACAUAUUUGAGGACCCACUCAACCUUACUACUGUCAUCAAUUCCCCAAAGAUGCAAGGUGUUGAGCGCUUUGCCAUUGGGGUGGGAGAGGCAUUUGAGAAGAAUAGGACCUACAGUGAACUGAAGCUGAUCGCCUCAGACCCUGAUGACAGAUACGCCUUCAAGGUGACCAACUACACAGCACUGGAUGGACUGCUGAGUAAAUUGCAGGAGAAUAUCAUUCAGAUGGAAGGCACGGUUGGAGAGGCCCUCCACUACCAGCUGGCACAGAUCGGGUUCAGUGCCCAGAUCCUUGAUAAGGGGCAGGUACUGCUCGGUGCCGUGGGGGCCUUCAACUGGUCGGGGGGUGCGCUACUCUACGACAUGCACAGCCGCCGGGGUCGCUUCCUGAACCACACUGAGGCGGAUACCGAGAAUGCGCAGUACAGCUAUCUAGGUUAUGCAGUGGCCCUACUGCACAAGGCCUGUGGCCUCUCCUAUGUGGCGGGGGCUCCACGGUACAAGCAGCGGGGAGCCGUGUUUGAGCUCUGGAAGGAGGGCAGAGAGACCAACUUCGUGCCAGUACUGGAGGGAGAGCAGAUGGGAUCCUAUUUUGGCUCUGAGCUGUGCCCUGUGGACAUUGACAUGGAUGGGACCACGGACUUCUUGUUGGUGGCUGCUCCAUUUUACCACAUUCACGGAGAGGAAGGCAGAGUGUAUGUGUACUGUCUGAAUGAGCAGAAUGGUUCCUUCUCCUUGGCAUACACUCUGAGUGGGCACCCUGGAUUCACUAAUGUCCGGUUUGGCUUUGCCAUGGCAACAAUAGGGGAUAUCAGUCAGGAUAACCUCACAGAUGUGGCCAUUGGGGCCCCCCUGGAGGGUUUUGAGGCAACUGAUGGCAACAGCUUCGGCAGCGUGUACAUCUACAAUGGACGCCAGGAUGGUCUUUCUACCAGCCCCUCUCAGCGGAUCAAAGCCUCAGCGGUGGCCUCAGGACUCCACUACUUCGGCAUGUCAGUGGCUGGUGGCUUAGAUUUGACUGGUGACCGCCUUCCUGACAUCACCGUGGGCACCCUGGGCCGGGCAGCUGUGCUCCGCUCAAGACCUGUGGUUUACCUGAAGGUGUCCAUGACCUUUACCCCUAUGGCACUGCCCAUUGGCUUCAACAGCAGUGUGAAUGCUCAUUUGUGUUUUGAAACCAACCCUAUGACCACAGUUGCUAACUCAGGCUUCAGAGAGACAUUUCUGAACUUCACAGUGGAUGUGGAUGUGGUGAAGCAGAGGAAAAGGCUGCAGUGUUCAGACAAGAGUAAUUGUCAGAGCCACCAUCGGGAGUGGGACACCAGUAUGUCCCAGCUUUGUGAGUCCCUCCUGCUUAUUCCCACAGAGGGAGAGCUCUGUGAGGAGGACUGCUUCUCCAACAUCAGUGUCAGCAUCAGCUACCAACUCCAGACCUCAGAAGGCCAGAGGGACCAUCCCCAACCCGUUUUGGACUUCUACACUAAACCCUUCACCAUCUUCCAGCUGCCCUAUGAGAAGAACUGCAAGAAUAAAUUGUUUUGUGUUGCUGAGUUACAGAUGGCCACCACUAUCUCUCAGCAGGAAUUGGUGGUUGGUCUCACAAAGGAGCUGACUAUGAACAUUAACCUAACUAACUCUGGGGAAGAUUCCUACAUGACGACCAUGAAUUUGAAUUACCCCAGAAACCUCCAGUUUAAAAGGAUACAAAAGCCUCCUUCUCCAGACAUUCAGUGUGAUGACCCGAAGCCAAAUGCUUCUGAGCUGGCCAUGAACUGCAAGAUUGGUCACCCUGUACUCAAGAGGUCAUCUGCAAACUUUUCAGUAGUUUGGCAGCUAGAGGAGAAUGUCUUUCCCAACAGGACAGCCGAUAUCACUGUGACAGUCACCAAUUUCAAUGACAGAAAUUCUUCAGUCAAACAGAGCCACAGCCUUCAAUUCAAGCAUGCCUUCAUCGCAGUUCUUCCGAAACCUUCAGUGAUGUACAUGAACACAAGCCAGGGGCUUUCUGUCUACAAAGAAUUCCUCUUCAAUAUACAUGGGGAAAAUCUCUUUGGAGCUGUAUUCCAGCUGCAAAUUUGUGUUCCAAUCAAAUUACAAGGUCUCCAGUUUAUAAGAGUGAAAAACCUGACAAAGAUUCAGGUACAAUACAGCCCUUGCAACCAUCUGCCUCCUCGUCCAUCUGGGCAGCCCCUUGAGACCCAAUCUCUUGACAGGAGUCCUGGUCUGUGGCCCUCUUCUUAUCGAUGCUUGAUAAACCUGGCCUCUCCAACCUCUUCCCAGCCCAUUCCCUUUCACAGCAAGACUCCCUCAUAUUCUUCCCAUCUGCCGCAAACUCAGAAUCUUCAGGGUUUCCAGAGUCCAUAAGACUAAAGAGAGCUGACCUGAGGCUGGCGUGGGCUUGGUGGGCCAGUCUGGUGAACCUGCUUCCUCCCGCUGCUGCCUCCUGGAAGCCAUGGAGGGAUGUUGGGUCCGGGGAGGCUGCUGGGAGAUGGAAGCCGCUCGGGACUUCGGAGGCCGCAUCCAGAGAGGCGGAGGGGCCAGGGCCGGGAGAGGCCAGACUGUUGAACAGGGAGGCACUGGUGCCCAGCUCGCCGCCGUCCUCGGGCUGGUCGCAUGUACUGAGGUCCGGGCUGAGGCGGCCUGGGUUGCCCUUAGGAAAGGGCGGCGGUCCAAGCGGGCCGCAGGGGGUGCUGCACUUCUGCGGAGGCCGAGCUCGCAGCCUCAGGCGUCGUGGAGUCACGAUCAGACUCGGCCAGUCCUUGGAGGCUUGGCCGCCAGGGCGCCUCCGCCGCUGACUUACCGGAACGUCGAGGAAGUCAGGGUCGUCGGGAUCGUCGGAAGCGAUAGACCCCGAGGGACCGUCGCUGCUACUACUGCUGCUGCUGAAAAAACGCUUCCGGUCUUGCGGCGGGAACCACUGCGCGACUGCCCGGUCCGGCCGCCGCCGCGGCCUCCCGCCGCCCACAGCCCCAUACGUUCGGAAGAGGCGAUUCCCGAGUCGCUGGCGUGACGCCGCCAUGGUCGGCACCCGCCCGGAGAUUCAAAUGCAAACACCGCGAGACUUCCUUAAGACAGACGCACGGGCGGGCCUGACUGCUGGGUCCUAGCGCCCGGCCGUGAGCAUGCGCAUCACAACGGGUCCCGCGGGAGGCGGGUGACUGGCAAUUUGGCAUCUUCUUAUCCGUACUGUCAUGGCUCUCGUUUCAGGCCAACACUAAGUGCAACUCCAGUCUGGAGAAAGAAUGUGGGAAAGACCCCGUUUGGUAUGUGGACCAAUGGUAUUCAGUGAACUGCACCAUCACUUCAAAUAAAGAAAAUGUAACGGUGGCUGCAGAGCUCUCCUUGAAUCAGUCUCAG